AUAGUACAAGAAGGCACACUGAGUGCGGGUUAAGUCUGCAGGAGAUCAGAUCAGCUUUGUUUCACAUGGCACCCUCCAUCAUUUCAUCCCACUACUGCAUCCUAGAAUCUUCACCAGCGGCCAGAGCUGACGCUGGGUGCCAGUUCUCUGACUGCUGUUCGUGCAGCCUGCUCUGGGAUCUGCCUGGACCACCCUGCUGCUGAAGCUUCCUCCUGGGAGAUGGGGACACAGACAGACCCUGGAGGCUGCUACAGCUGUGGGAACUUGGGCAGUUCAUGGGAGCAAAGGAGGUGCCUGGUCCAAACCACAGCUGGAAGCUGUGCCAUUUCUCUUGACAUCUGGGCAGAACGUAAGCCUUGGAGGGACCGGUUGGCAGGAAUUCUUGUUGAUUGGAGGCAGGGAAGGAGAAAGCAGAGGUGGCCGCUGUCAUGUGACAUUAGCAUCACGUUAGCGAUGGCUUCAGCACCUCUUGGGUGGCGUGUGUUAUCGUGAGUUCUCAUGAACUCACAGACUUGAAACGGGUGACAGGGUGGUGGAUGCCCCUCCCGAAAGGUGUAUGACAGAUCCGGAAAGGGAGGGGCUGGUCUGAGGGGAAGUUUCCUCCUUGGGGCCCUCAGACCAUUCAGAGAGGGGGCCAUGGCCUGGACAAAGCACAGGGCUUCAGCCAGCAGAGUGACUCACCUGGGGACAGGAAACAUCCGGAUGACCUCCCUUCCACCUUGUGAACCCUCGUUAACGGGGGCAGGGGGGGCAAAUCACCUCUGAACCCACGAAAACGACGUUGUCUUUCUAAAAGCUCUUCUGUCGAAAAUGCAGAAAUUUUAAAACAAGGUUGAUGUCUCUGUUUUUUUGGUCCCAGCAUGGCAUAUGGAAUCACAUGUGAGCUGCUGCUGCAACCUACAGCACAGCUGCAGCAAUGCCAGAUCCUUAACCCACCAUGCCGCAGGGGGAACUCCCGCUAUCUCCAUUUUAAGUUUAAAAGCUCUCACAAUUAUGUGGCUUUGAGAGUUCACUGUAAAGUCAUUUAAGUGGCCCAAUGGACAUAACUGGACUUUUAAUUCACAGGCUUUGAAACAUCUUUAAAUGACUUGGAUUGAGCACUUCUCUGCUGUUGGUAGGUUUUAUGAUGGUUCCUAGUAAGAGGGAUGGAUGUAUAGACACACAUGCCUGUCACUGGCGAGGAGGACAGCGCCUGUCUGUGUAUCUAGGAAAUUCAAAGGUCAUUUUGAACUCGAAGGUUAAGAAAUGAUGUUCCUGCUACACCUUUUCCAGACUCCCUCUCAGCGCUGUUUGGCAGUGACAGUAACGGCAUGGUCCUGGGGACCACGGCCCGUUCUCCAAACCAUCUGCACCUGAUCUCGGCCCCGGGCAGUGGUGCAUGGUGGGGUUAACAAGGCUUUCCCUCAUCUGACACCUCCUUCCUCCCUGGGGAAGAGGCAUGAAUGCUGCCAAUAAGUAGACUCAAAGUAUGUUUGUCAUUAAGCUUUUCCUGUAGGCUGGCUCGUUCAAUUGAUGGAGUUGCUCUGGUGAGUUACUUUAAGCUUCCAACUUAUAAAUCAAGAUGUAGUCAUAUCAAUUCAAUGUUGGUUUGUUCACCUCGUUGAUUUUGAAAUAAAAAUGAAUGUGAUUUUAGAGAUGCCCCAAGUGAAAAAUCCCCAAUACUGACGCCACUAGCAAUGAGCAGCACUGCCUGCUGGAACCAGGGUUCCUUACAGGGCACUGACCCCAGGUCUGGGGCAGGAGAUGGUAAGUGAGCCUAGCAUAUCCUGCUCUGCCAAGAACUUUUCGGAAACUAAGGUGUCAAGGUCAAAAGGACAAAGAGGCCAACCUGAAGGGUAUCCCGUUGCUCUAAAAUACGACAAUGAAGCAUCCAAAAGAUGAGUGAGAUGGAUUGAAGUACAUGGCAUACAUAAAAUUUCAUGAAUUCGUGAAUAUCCUAAAACAAACAGCUAACCAGCUCUUUAGUUUAAAAUUUGAUGCACGGAAAGACAGAUUUAUCUUGCUUUUUUUUUUCCCUGUACAAACCUUAUUUAAGAGUUCACAAAGAGGUGACAGGAGAAAUUUCUUUACAGAUGCAUACAAGCUAAUAAAAGUAGAAGGAAUGAUAGUUAAGAAAUCAUUAAAAACAAACACCUAUUGGAGUAAUGAAUUUAGGCAACAGUCAUCAAAGACAUUAAAGCAGUAGGUGACAGGUGAAUGGGGACCAGCCAGUGGAUGGAUCAGGCUGGGGAUCCAGGAACUGACUGUCAAUCUCUUAUCACUAAGAGCGGAUGAUGAGACGUUACAAUGUGAUGCAAAGCAGAUAUGCAGCACCAUCUCUGAAGCUGAAAAAAAUUCCUCUGAAUCUAAGCAAGCCUCUGUGUCUAACCUUUCACUUAACAGAAAAUACAGCAGGUAGAGAAACCAGUUAGAAAAUGUCAAAUCAAUACCGUGGGACAUUUUACAGGGCGGCCAAUCUAAUUUCUCCAAAGAAUUAAUGACACGGAAACAAAGCAGGGGAGGGGACAGCUACAGACAUGAGACUUAAGACUUACUCGUGGGCUUUGUUCAGAUCCUGAUUCAGGGGAGUUCCCAUCGUGGCGCAGUGGUUAACAAAUCUGACUAGGAACCAUGAGGUUUCGGGUUCGAUCCCUGGCCUUGCUCAGUGGGUUAAGGAUCCAGUGUUGCCAUGAGUUGUGGUGUAGGUCACAGAUGCAGCUCGGAUCCCGUGUUGCUGUGGCUCUUACGUAGGCCGGCGGCUACAGCUCUGAUUAGACCCCUAGCCUGGGAACCUCCAUAUGCAGCCCUAGAAAAAACCAAAAACAAAAAGACAGAUCCUGAUUCAAACAAAUCAACUGUUACGAAAUAUAUUUCAGACAGCAUAGGAAACUUAGAAUAGAGACCAGGUACUAAACGAGCACAGGCAACAGUGGUUAGUUUUAUUAGUUACAGUAAUGGCAGUAUCGCUAAACAAGUUCAUUGGUUAUGGAUGCAUACUGGAGUAUUAGGAUAAAAGCCUGUGGUAGCUUGGAUUUCUCUAGAAACACUCCAAUAAAGAAAGGAGGAGAGUGCUUUGGGUUAAGGAGCCAGUGUUGUCCCUUGCAUCGUUGUUAGGUUCCAUCCCUGGCUCGGGAACUUCCACAUACAAGUGUGGC
rnacentral:lncRNA from 1 species